rnacentral:piRNA from 1 species
CGAUGUGCAUCAUUAGCUCACAGUGGCCCC